CUCAGUUCGGAUUGUAGUCUGCAACCCGACUACAUGAAGCUGGAAUCGCUAGUAAUCGCAGAUCAGAAUGCUGCGGUGAAUACGUUCCCGGGUCUUGUACACACCGCCCGUCACACCAUGGGAGUUGGAAAUGCCCGAAGCCAGUGACCCAACCGUAAGGAGGGAGCUGUCGAAGGUGGAGCCGAUGACUGGGGUGAAGUCGUAACAAGGUAAC
rnacentral:rRNA from 1 species